rnacentral:lncRNA from 1 species
UUCAAACGUGAUCCUUGAGGGCGACAGUCGUAUUUCAUAUGAAGUUUGUUAAGUGGAACAAAAUUUCGUUCAGAGAAGCAGAUUAAGAGCAAAUCUCUCAAAACACAAGAAUGUUUGACCUACAUGCGAAAGUGUUUCACACUAUCCGGUCUCACUUCAGCACAAUGUGAAUGUGGACACACGUGCGAAGACUCGUAUCACUUCUUCUUCACAUGCCCUCAAUACCACAUCCUACGCCUCUAAUUAUUGCAGGAUUUAGCAUGGUAUCCUGGAGAUAUGUCAUUAGACUUAAUCAUAAAGGGUGAUUUAGAUUUAAACGUUUGCGUGUUUCGCAUGGAGUAA